rnacentral:rRNA from 1 species
CGCGCAGGCGGUCUUGUCCGUCAGGUGUGAAAGCUCGGGGCUCAACCCCGGAAGUGCACUUGAAACAGCAAGACUUGAAUACGGGAGAGGAGAGAGGAAUUCCUGGUGUAGAGGUGAAAUUCGUAGAUAUCAGGAGGAACACCAAUGGCGAAGGCAUCUCUCUGGACCGAUAUUGACGCUGAGGCGCGAAGGCGUGGGGAGCGAACAGGAUUAGAUACCUGGUAGUCC